rnacentral:rRNA from 1 species
UACGUAGGGGGCAAGCGUUGUCCGGAUUUAUUGGGCGUAAAGAGCGUGUAGGCGGCCAGAUAGGUCUGUUGUGAAAACUCGAGGCUCAACCUCGAGACGCCGAUGGAAACCAUUUGGCUAGAGUCCGGAAGAGGAGAGUGGAAUUCCUGGUGUAGCGGUGAAAUGCGCAGAUAUCAGGAAGAACACCCGUGGCGAAGGCGGCUCUCUGGGACGGUACUGACGCUGAGACGCGAAAGCGUGGGGAGCGAACAGG